GCUCCACUGUGGUCAUAAAGGGAUGGACAUGGUCAGCAACAAUACUCAGGUAGGCUGUGGUGGUGAAACCAGGCCACAUUGGGACUAAGGGGCCAAAAGUGGGUCAAAAAAAAUCCUCCACACCAUUACACCACCAGCAGCCUGAAGCGUUGAUCCAAUGCAGGAUGGAUCCAUGUUU